UACGAAGGGGGCUAGCGUUGUUCGGAAUUACUGGGCGUAAAGGGCGCGUAGGCGGUGCCUCAAGUCAGGCGUGAAAGCCCCCGGCUCAACCGGGGAGGGUCGUCGGGGACUGGCGGGCUUGAGGUCGGCAGGGGUUGGUGGAAUUCCCGGUGUAGUGGUGAAAUGCGUAGAUAUCGGGAGGAACACCAGUGGCGAAGGCGGCGUUCUGGACUGUUACUGACACUGAGGAACGAAAGCCAGGGGAGCAAACGGG
rnacentral:rRNA from 1 species